rnacentral:rRNA from 1 species
UACGUAGGGUGCAAGCGUUGUCCGGAUUUAUUGGGCGUAAAGAGCUCGUAGGCGGCUUGUCGCGUCGUUCGUGAAAACCCACGGCUCAACUGUGGGCUUGCGGUCGAUACGGGCAGGCUGGAGUUCGGUAGGGGAGACUGGAAUUCCUGGUGUAGCGGUGAAAUGCGCAGAUAUCGGGAAGAACACCCGUGGCGAAGGCGGCUCUCUGGGACGUAACUGACGCUGAGACGCGAAAGCGUGGGGAGCAAACAGG